UGCAAGUCGAGCGGAAACGAUCCUAGCUUGCUAGGAGGCGUCGAGCGGCGGACGGGUGAGUAACGCAUAGGAAUCUGCCCGGUAGUGGGGGAUAACCUGGGGAAACCCAGGCUAAUACCGCAUACGUCCUACGGGAGAAAGCAGGGGAUCUUCGGACCUUGCGCUAUCGGAUGAGCCUAUGUCGGAUUAGCUUGUUGGUGAGGUAACGGCUCACCAAGGCAACGAUCCGUAGCUGGUCUGAGAGGAUGAUCAGCCACAUCGGGACUGAGACACGGCCCGAACUCCUACGGGAGGCAGCAGUGGGGAAUAUUGGACAAUGGGCGAAAGCCUGAUCCAGCCAUGCCGCGUGUGUGAAGAAGGCCUUCGGGUUGUAAAGCACUUUCAGUGAGGAAGAAAGCCUUGAGGUUAAUACCCUUGAGGGAGGACAUCACUCACAGAAGAAGCACCGGCUAACUCCGUGCCAGCAGCCGCGGUAAUACGGAGGGUGCGAGCGUUAAUCGGAAUUACUGGGCGUAAAGCGCGCGUAGGCGGCUUGAUAAGCCGGUUGUGAAAGCCCCGGGCUCAACCUGGGAACGGCAUCCGGAACUGUCAGGCUAGAGUGCAGGAGAGGAAGGUAGAAUUCCCGGUGUAGCGGUGAAAUGCGUAGAGAUCGGGAGGAAUACCAGUGGCGAAGGCGGCCUUCUGGACUGACACUGACGCUGAGGUGCGAAAGCGUGGGUAGCAAACAGGAUUAGAUACCCUGGUAGUCCACGCCGUAAACGAUGUCGACUAGCCGUUGGGCUCCUUGAGAGCUUUGUGGCGCAGUUAACGCGAUAAGUCGACCGCCUGGGGAGUACGGCCGCAAGGUUAAAACUCAAAUGAAUUGACGGGGGCCCGCACAAGCGGUGGAGCAUGUGGUUUAAUUCGAUGCAACGCGAAGAACCUUACCUACCCUUGACAUCGAGAGAACUUUCCAGAGAUGGAUUGGUGCCUUCGGGAACUCU
rnacentral:rRNA from 1 species